ACAGAUAUACAUACAAUACAUCAGUGGCAAGAACAAAGACAAUGUAUAUACACAUAAAUCCCAACACAUCCGAGUCCCUCUAAUGUACAUCAACAAUGCUGCAUUAGUGUGCAUAAUAUGGAUUUUUCAAUGGUACACCCUGCAGAGCAGGGUAAAAUGGUGCUUUGUUAAACAACUGUUGUACACCUUUAAGGAGCUGAUCCAUGGAUUUGUGCGCAUGUGCCACUGACAGCAUGCACCCUAAAAAAGGGUAAGUGAUUACUCUGGUGUGCCUCGCAAGGCAAAGGAAGUGGAGAAAGAAGGAGAGGGGAAGACACCAAAUGCAGAGCAUUGAGAAAUGCAGAUAUUGUCUACCUUCAUUGAAAUGAAUGUGAACACACAGGCAUAAGAUGUCCAUAUGCACCAUUUAUAUGCAGAACUCUGAACUGAUGUGAUGCCACCGUGUGAAGACAUGAAGCAGCUUUUCCACUAAAUGAAAACUAAUUUCUCCAUUUUGUUUUCUAAUCUUGCUGGCUCAAAAUGUGUAAUAAAACACCCAGCUACACAGA